rnacentral:rRNA from 1 species
CCUACGGGAGGCAGCAGUGGGGAAUAUUGCACAAUGGGGGAAACCCUGAUGCCGCGACGCCGCGUGAGUGAAGCAGUAAUUCGUUAUGUAAAGCUCUAUCAGCCGGGAAGAAAAUGACGGUACCUGAGUAAGAAGCCCCGGCUAACUACAUGCCACCAGCCGCGGUAAUCCGUAGGGGGCAAGAGUUAUCCGUCUUUACUGGGUGUAAGGGGAGCGUAGACGGCAGUGCAAGUCUGGAGUGAAAGGCGGGGGCUCAACCCCCGGACUGCUAUGGAAACUGUACGGCUGGAGUGCAGGAGAGGUAAGAGGAAUUCCUAGUGUAGCGGUGAAAUGCGUAGAUAUUAGGAGGAACACCAGUGGCGAAGGCGGCUUACUGGACUGUAACUGACGUUGAGGCUCGAAAGCGUGGGGAGCAAACAGGAUUAGAUACCCGUGUAGUC